rnacentral:hammerhead_ribozyme from 1 species
AUCCAGCUGACGAAUUCGAAAUAAGACGAAAUGCGUGUCUUGGAU